rnacentral:rRNA from 1 species
AACGAACGCUGGCGGCAUGCCUAACACAUGCAAGUCGAACGAGACCUUCGGGUCUAGUGGCGCACGGGUGCGUAACGCGUGGGAACCUGCCCUUAGGUUCGGAAUAACUCCCCGAAAGGGGUGCUAAUACCGGAUAAUGUCUUCGGACCAAAGAUUUAUCGCCUUUGGAUGGGCCCGCGUUGGAUUAGCUAGUUGGUAGGGUAAAAGCCUACCAAGGCGACGAUCCAUAGCUGGUCUGAGAGGAUGAUCCGCCACACUGGGACUGAGACACGGCCCAGACUCCUACGGGAGGCAGCAGUUGGGAAUAUUGGACAAUGGGCGAAAGCCUUAUCCAGCAAUGCCGCGUGAGUGAUGAAGGCAUUAGGGUUGUAAAGCUCUUUUACCAGGGAUGAUAAUGACAGUACCGGGAGAAUAAGCCCCGGCUAACUCCGUG